rfam:Vigna radiata var. radiata cultivar VC1973A scaffold_2580, whole genome shotgun sequence
AUAGUUGUUCCAACAGCAUUCCUGCGUAGUACGAGAGGAACCGCAGGUACGGACCUAUGGCUUAAUACUUGUUCGAGCGAACAGUGGUAUGACGCUACGUCCGUCGGAUUAUGCCUGAACGCCUCUAAGGUCGUAUCCGAGCUGGAUGAGAACAAUAGCAAAGGGGUCACCGUGUCGCUAGGCAAAUACCACUUGAUAGUCAUUCAACUUGCUUGUUUGACGAAUAGUUUGAUGCCUAAUUGCCUUGCAAUAUAGCGAGAAUGGGAGGCGAAAGCACCUGUUCGACGAGCUAAUUGUAGUCGGCUAAUCAUUAGGUUAUUGCGAUGCUGGUGCCCGAAAUCAAUUGUAAACGACUUUGGUAACAGGCAGGGUGUUGUAAAUGGUAGAGCAGCUGCCAUACUGCGAUCCAUUGAAACUUAUCCCUCGCUUGCCGAUUUGU